rnacentral:rRNA from 1 species
CUGCGGAAGGAUCAUUGUCGUGACCCUGACCAAAACAGACCGCGCACGCGUCAUCCAACCCGUCGGUGACGGCACUGUCCGUCGCUCGGCCAAUGCCUCGACCACCUCCCCUCCUCGGAGCGGGUGGGGGCUCGGGGUAAAAGAACCCACGGCGCCGAAGGCGUCAAGGAACACUGUGCCUAACCCGGGGGCAUGGCUAGCUUGCUAGCCGUCCCUUGUGUUGCAAAGCUAUUUAAUCCACACGACUCUCGGCAACGGAUAUCUCGGCUCUCGCAUCGAUGAAGGACGUAGCGAAAUGCGAUACCUGGUGUGAAUUGCAGAAUCCCGCGAACCAUCGAGUCUUUGAACGCAAGUUGCGCCCGAGGCCACUCGGCCGAGGGCACGCCUGCCUGGGCGUCACGCCAAAACACGCUCCCAACCACCCUCAUCGGGAAUCGGGACGCGGCAUCUGGUCCCUCGUCUCGCAAGGGGCGGUGGACCGAAGAUCGGGCUGCCGGUGUACCGCGCCGGACACAGCGCAUGGUGGGCGUCCUCGCUUUAUCAACGCAGUGCAUCCGACGCGCAGCCGACAUUAUGGCCUCAGAACGACCCAGCAAACGAAGCGCACGUUGCUUCGACCGCGACCCCAGGUCAGGCGGGACUACCCGCUGAGUUUAAGCA